AGUGAACGCUGGCGGUAGGCCUAACACAUGCAAGUCGAACGGCAGCACAGUAAGAGCUUGCUCUUACGGGUGGCGAGUGGCGGACGGGUGAGGAAUACAUCGGAAUCUACUUUUUCGUGGGGGAUAACGUAGGGAAACUUACGCUAAUACCGCAUACGACCUACGGGUGAAAGCAGGGGAUCUUCGGACCUUGCGCGAUUGAAUGAGCCGAUGUCGGAUUAGCUAGUUGGCGGGGUAAAGGCCCACCAAGGCGACGAUCCGUAGCUGGUCUGAGAGGAUGAUCAGCCACACUGGAACUGAGACACGGUCCAGACUCCUAAGGGAGGCAGCAGUGGGGAAUAUUGGACAAUGGGCGCAAGCCUGAUCCAGCCAUACCGCGUGGGUGAAGAAGGCCUUCGGGUUGUAAAGCCCUUUUGUUGGGAAAGAAAAGCAGCAGGUUAAUACCCCGCCGUUCUGACGGUACCCAAAGAAUAAGCACCGGCUAACUUCGUG
rnacentral:rRNA from 1 species